rnacentral:rRNA from 1 species
GUAAGGAAUAUUGGACAAUGGACGCAAGUCUGAUCCAGCCAUGCCGCGUGAAGGAUUAAGGUCCUCUGGAUUGUAAACUUCUUUUAUAAGGGACGAAAAAAGGCUUUUCUAAGUCGUCUGACGGUACCUUAUGAAUAAGCACCGGCUAACUCCGUGCCAGCAGCCGCGGUAAUACGGAGGGUGCAAGCGUUAUCCGGAUUCACUGGGUUUAAAGGGUGCGUAGGCGGGCAGGUAAGUCAGUGGUGAAAUCCUAGAGCUUAACUCUAUAACUGCCAUUGAUACUAUCUGUCUUGUAUAGUGUGGAGGUAAGCGGAAUAUGUCAUGUAGCGGUGAAAUGCUUAGAUAUGACAUAGAACACCUAUUGCGAAGGCAGCUUACUACGCAUAUAUUGACGCUGAGGCACGAAAGCGUGGGGAUCAAACAGGAUUAGAAACCCUUGUAGUCC